rnacentral:rRNA from 1 species
UGGCCAGACUCCUACGGGAGGCAGCAGUGGGGGAUAUUGCACAAUGGGGGAAACCCUGAUGCAGCGACGCCGCGUGGGUGAAGGAGCACUUCGGUGCGUAAAGCCCUAUCGGCAGGGAAGAAAAGGGGGAAACCCCAGACGGUACCUGACUAAGAAGCCCCGGCUAACUACGUGCCAGCAGCCGCGGUAAUACGUAGGGGGCAAGCGUUAUCCGGAUUUACUGGGUGUAAAGGGAGCGCAGACGGCAGUGCAAGUCUGGGGUGAAAGCCCGGGGCCCAACCCCGGGACUGCUCUGGAAACUGUACGGCUAGAGUACGGGAGGGGCAGGCGGAAUUCCUAGUGUAGCGGUGAAAUGCGUAGAUAUUAGGAGGAACACCAGUGGCGAAGGCGGCCUACUGGACGGUGACUGACGCUGAGGCUCGAAAGCGUGGGGAGCAAACAGGAUUAGAUACCCGGUA